GGUGGCUCACUGGUAGAGUGCUUGCCUUGCAUGCAUGAGGCCUGGGUUCUAUUCCUCAGCACCA
rnacentral:tRNA from 1 species